UUACAAUGUUUUGUUGCUUCUUUUGUAUUUGUACGAUAAAUAUGAGUUUCAUCAGAAAUAAUGUUCCACUGAAGUUUUAAAUGGAUGCCUGUGCAUGGAAUUUUCAUGUGAGAGUAACACCAAACUGAAUUUUUCUAAGGUAUAUUACUGAAUUAGAAAACAAGUAAUACAUAUCCAGAGUAUACAGAUAAAAUUCCUAAGAAGUGCCAAUGAAUCUAAAAGAACAAACAAUCUUUAAUGGACUAAAUAUAUACAACAUAAAAAAGUUAGAUGAAAAUAAGAUGAUAAAGAAACACCUACAAAGAAUGUAUCCUGAAAGAGUACCAGCAAAAAUAAAUAAUUACAAAGCAAAUGGAAAACAUGUGAGCUGUUACAGGUGGUAAACAGCAUAAAAAGGCAAGAGGAGGAGGUGGAGAAGAAGAUGAAGACAAAAUACUAAAGCAAAUUAUGUAUCAGUUUAAAACUUCCUGGCAAAUUAAAACAUUAUGCCAGACCAGAGCUUGAACCUGGAACCUGGAACCUUUGCUUUUCAUGGACAAGUGCUCAACUGGCUGUGCUAUCCAAGCAGGACUCAAACUUACCAAAUGCCAAGCUCCUUUUGUUUGCCGAUGUUACAAACAUUGCAAUAAAUAUCAAAUCAAGUGUAGUCUUAGAAAGAUCAGCUAAUAAAAUAUUUGUGGACAUUAAUCACUGGUUCCUAGCCAAUUCUUUGUCACUAAACUUUGAAAAACACACUACA